rnacentral:tRNA from 4 species
GGUGAGAUGGCCGAGUUGGUUAUGGCGCCAGGUUAAGGUCCUGGUGGGGCAACCCUCGUGGGUUCAAAUCCCACUCUCAUCA